rnacentral:lncRNA from 1 species
CUUUUCAACACUUAUCCUUCUGGCCCCUUAAAGUGUCUGACUAACUCAAACACACAAAUGCAGUUUCUGUAAGGGAAGGACCACAGACUUUUCCCAUCUUCCAGCCUGCUGUAUUUAGCAAACACUUUUAAGCAUAUGCUAGGGACAGGGUGGUUUAAUCAAUUAAUAUACAACCAAGUUUCCUGUGACUGAUACUGAAUGAAGUUAUGGGUUUUAGGUAAAGCAUAUUCUCAUUUUCGACUGAAAAGACAGUCAAAAGAUCCUCUUUUGCACUUAGUGUACUGUCAGAGCAGAAAUGCUACCGAAGGAAAGCUCCAGUAUCUUGCUAGAACUAGACAAAAGAAUGCUUUCCACAAAGGGCAAGCUCUCUCUCUUCCACAGCCUGGAUGCUGGGUGCCCAGCCCAGCAGGGCAGGUGAAAGGGGUGAACUGGAGCUAGGCUGCUGAACAGGGUGGCGUCUUGGCCUCCCUCACAAAUCAGAAUGCUACCAUUGCAGUAUAAAAGCAGCACUGGUCACUGCAUUCCAAACGUAAAAUUGCCGUUUACAAAAACCUUUCUUCAUCUCAGUGUUCAUUUUAGGUGUUUUUAAACUCUUCAUGCCAGGGU